AGCCUUCGGGUUAGUGGCGGACGGGUGAGUAACGCGUGAGAAACUGCCCUCAGGAGGGGGAUAACAGUUGGAAACGACUGCUAAUACCCCAUAUGCCGAGAGGUGAAACGAAUUUUGCCUGGGGAUGAGCUCGCGUCUGAUUAGCUUGUUGGUGGGGUAAAAGCCUACCAAGGCUUCGAUCAGUAGCUGGUCUGAGAGGACGAUCAGCCACACUGGGACUGAGAUACGGCCCAGACUCCUACGGGAGGCAGCAGUGGGGAAUUUUCCGCAAUGGGCGCAAGCCUGACGGAGCAACGCCGCGUGAGGGAUGAAGGCCUUUGGGCUGUAAACCUCUUUUCUCAAGGAAGAAGAUCUGACGGUACUUGAGGAAUAAGCCACGGCUAAUUCCGUGCCAGCAGCCGCGGUAAUACGGGAGUGGCAAGCGUUAUCCGGAAUUAUUGGGCGUAAAGCGUCCGCAGGCGGCCGUUUAAGUCUGUUGUUAAAUCGUGGAGCUCAACUCCAUCACGGCAAUGGAAACUGUUCGGCUUGAGUAUGGUAGGGGCAGAGGGAAUUUCCGGUGUAGCGGUGAAAUGCGUAGAUAUCGGGAAGAACACCAGUGGCAAAAGCGCUCUGCUGGGCCAUUACUGACGCUCAUGGACGAAAGCCAGGGGAGCGAAAGGGAUUAGAUACCCCUGUAGUCCUGGCCGUAAACGAUGAACACUAGAUGUUGGGGGAAUCGACCCCUCCGGUGUCGUAGCUAACGCGUUAAGUGUUCCGGCUGGUGGAGUACGCACGCAAGUGUGAGACUCAAAGGAAUUGACUGGGGCCGCACAAGCUGCGGAGUAUGUGGCUUUAAUUCGAUGC
rnacentral:rRNA from 1 species